rnacentral:sRNA from 1 species
CGGACUCCAGGACUUAUCUAACUGUAUGAUAAGCGUAGUGUUAAACGUUUGCGUCUGCUCAGGGUAUUUUCCGCAAAAAUGCCGUGUUAUGGCGCAUUAAACCGGCGGCCGACGGAGAAUAAAUGCCUGAAAAAGUGCGCAAACGGAAUCAGGGCUGCGCGCGUUGCGCAACAAGGGCGGGAUUCUAACAAGGCUGAACGGAUAAAACGAGAUUUUUACCCACAGCUGUGGGAAAAUAGAAUAACCACAAUGAUUAUGUGGUUAAGGAGCAACCCAUGAGUACCGAUCUUAAACUGGCGUUAAUGACCACUGUCGGCUGCCUGCUGAUGAUUGUGGCCUUUAGUUUUACCGCUGUACUGCACUGAU